AAGGAUUUAAGUUAAGUGCAAACUCUCAACCUUCAAAGUUGGAUAUAGAUUUUUGUCUAAGCCUUA
rnacentral:tRNA from 2 species